CAGAAUUGCGCAUGGGCGAAGCCUGACGCAGCGACNCCGCGUGAGGNAAGAAGGCCUUCGGGUCUCNAACCUCUUUUCUUGGGGAAGAAUAAUGACGGUACCCAGGGAAUAAGUCACGGCUAACUCCGUGCCAGCAGCCGCGGUAAUACGUAGGCGGCGAGCAUUAUCCGGAUUUACUGGGCGUAAAGCGGGUAUAGGUGGUUUUUCAAGUCGGAUGUGAAAUUUCUCGGCUCAACCGGGACGGGUCAUUCGAUACUGUUAGACUAGAGGGCAGCAGAGGGAGAUGGAAUUCCCGGUGUAGUGGUGAAAUGCGUAGAUAUCGGGAGGAACACCAGUGGCGAAAGCGGUCUCCUGGGCUGUUCCUGACACUGAGGCCCAAAAGCGUGGGGAGCAAACAGGAUUAGAUACCCUGGUAGUCCACGCCUUAAACGAUGGAUACUAGGUAUGGGGGGUAUCGACCCCCUCCGUGCCAAAGUUAACACCUUAAGUAUCCCGCCUGGGGAGUACGGUCGCAAGACUAAAACUCAAAAGAAUUGACGGA
rnacentral:rRNA from 1 species